rnacentral:rRNA from 1 species
UCAGAGCGAACGCUGGCGGCAGGCCUAACACAUGCAAGUCGAACGAACUCUUCGGAGUUAGUGGCGGACGGGUGAGUAACACGUGGGAACGUGCCUUUUGGUUCGGAAUAACUCAGGGAAACUUGUGCUAAUACCGAAUGUGCCCUUCGGGGGAAAGAUUUAUCGCCAUUAGAGCGGCCCGCGUCUGAUUAGCUAGUUGGUGAGGUAAAGGCUCACCAAGGCGACGAUCAGUAGCUGGUCUGAGAGGAUGAUCAGCCACAUUGGGACUGAGACACGGCCCAAACUCCUACGGGAGGCAGCAGUGGGGAAUCUUGCGCAAUGGGCGAAAGCCUGACGCAGCCAUGCCGCGUGAAUGAUGAAGGUCUUAGGAUUGUAAAAUUCUUUCACCGGGGACGAUAAUGACGGUACCCGGAGAAGAAGCCCCGGCUAACUUCGUGCCAGCAGCCGCGGUAAUACGAAGGGGGCUAGCGUUGCUCGGAAUUACUGGGCGUAAAGGGAGCGUAGGCGGACAUUUAAGUCAGGGGUGAAAUCCCGGGGCUCAACCUCGGAAUUGCCUUUGAUACUGGGUGUCUUGAGUAUGAGAGAGGUGUGUGGAACUCCGAGUGUAGAGGUGAAAUUCGUAGAUAUUCGGAAGAACACCAGUGGCGAAGGCGACACACUGGCUCAUUACUGACGCUGAGGCUCGAAAGCGUGGGGAGCAAACAGGAUUAGAUACCCUGGUAGUCCACGCCGUAAACGAUGAUUGCUAGUUGUCGGGAUGCAUGCAUUUCG